AUACCAUGAUGCGGACACUUUCUGAUGAGAUCCUUGAACCUCUCCUAGGACUCAUUGAGAGAUUCAUUAUCUAGUUGAAUAAAGUUAUUAAUCUCUCCUCGCAGCUU